UUUGUGCCCAACAGGCUUCAUCAAAAUGGGCUCGAUCCCAACCCAAUUCUUUUUCAAAUUUUGAAAAUAUCUCAUGUCAUAACGAUCUCAUACAUAUCCUUUUCUGUUCAAAAUUCGAUUUAGAUUUUGAAUCUCCAACCAAUUCCUUAAAUAUCUUUUUCUCAACCAAUCACAUCCGCAUCCCAAACUUCAAGUUUAAACAUCAAAAUAUUCAAAUUUCGAAUUUUUGAACUCCCAACCAACCCUCAACAAUCUGAUUCAAAAUUCGAUUUGAAUCCCCAACUGACUCCUCAAAAUAUCUCUCGCCCAACCCCACGAAUCGCUCCGAUUCCUCAGAUUUUUCCUUCUACUAUAAGGGCUUGUUUGGUUCAUCCAUUUUGGGUAUGGAAUGGGAAUCGGUUUGAUUAAAUCCGGUUAAUUUUGAUUGGUUCACAUGAAUCGGUUUGGGAUUCCUAUUCCGGACUGGAAUGGGAAUGACCCAUUACCCUUUAACUUGAUUCCGGUCUUCUAGUCCGGAUUGAGAUUUCAUUCCGGAAGCCCACUAAGUUCUCGAAGCCCAUGUGACCAUCUCACCCUCCUUCUCUUCACCCCUUGCUCAUUAAAAAAAAAAAAACCUAUCCUCUCUCAAAACCCUAUCCCUAAUCCACAUCAAUAAAAGUUUUUAAAAAUAAAUUUGAUAUUUUUUUGGAAAACUUAUUAGAGAAUAGUAUUAUAUUUUUCAUAAAUUUUAAAUAAUAUACAUUUAUAUUUGAGAGUAAAAUUAAUAUUAUAGUAUCCUAUAAUUUUUUAAUUUAUACGAACCAAACAAUAAAAUGUGAAUAACUCAUUCCAAUUUCCAAUCCACAAAUAAACCAAACGUCUUGGGGGAGUGGGCCAUUCCAAUUACCAUUCCAAUUCGUUUCCAUUCCAUUAUCCAUUCCAAUUCCACCCUUGAACCAAACAAGCCCUAAAUAUGAUGAUGAAAAAAGAUGAUACAUAUAGAGAACGGAGAGAGAGAAUAACAAUACAAUGAGAGAAUAGGGAUACAAAGAGAGAAUACCGAUACAAAGAGGAGAGAUAAUAGCGCUCCCACCCCCU
rnacentral:lncRNA from 1 species